rnacentral:rRNA from 1 species
GACGAACGCUGGCGGCGUGCUUAACACAUGCAAGUCGAACGGAAGGGCCCUACUUUUGUGGGUUUCUCGUUUGGCGAACGGGUGAGUAACACAUGAGUAACCUGCCCUUAUCUUUCUGAUAACUUCACGAAACUGCGGCUCAUACCCGAUAUGAUCUCCUGCUCCAUGUUGGUCGUUGGAAAGUUUCGGCCGUUGGGGCUCGACUCGCAGCUUAUCCGCUUGUUAGUGGGGUAGUUGCUUACCAAGCCUUUGACGGGUAGCCGGCCUGAGAGGGUGAACGGGGACAUUGGGACUGAGAGAGGGAGCAGAAGCCUACGGGACGCAGUAGUGGGGAAUAUUGCACAAUGAGGGGAAGCCUGAGGCAGCAACGUCCGGAGCGGGAAGACGGGCUUCGGGUUGUGAACAGCUUUGGCAGGAAACGAAGCGUGAGUGACGGUAAUGGGUAAAGAAGCACCGGCUAACUACGUG